AUAAACAUAUAAAUUAUUGAAAUUAAAAUGAGUUUAUCCUGUAUCAAAAAGACAAAAGAAAAAAGAAAAAUUUAUCCAAACAGCCUCUUUAUCUUCUUUCUUCGGCAAGUGCAAAGUGGUGCUAAGAAUUUGUUCAUCGUUGAAUCGAGUGCGAUCAUGACUAGCCACGCUAUUGCGGAGCCGAACAAGCUGAAACUUUUCUCUUAUUGGCGGAGCUCUUGCUCCUGCCGAGUACGAAUUGCUCUCAACCUCAAGGGGCUGGACUACGAGUACAUAGCGAUUAACUUGCUCAAAGGAGAACAUAAGUCUCCUGACUUUUUGAAGCUUAAUCCGCUUGGAUUGGUGCCUGUGCUUAUCGAUGGAGAUACUGUUGUUUCAGACUCCCUUGCAAUUUUAUUGUAUCUAGAGGAGAGGUAUCCUCAACGUCCGUUGUUACCUCAGGAUCUGGAGCUGAAGGCCCUGAACUACCAGGCGGCAAAUAUUGUUUUUGCAAGCAUACAACCUUAUCAGAAUAUACCCAUCAUUGGGUAUAUUAAAGAAAAACUUGGAGCUGAUGAGAUGCUUUCUUGGGUUCAGCAUCAUAUUAAAAAUGGGUUCGCUGCUCUGGAGAAGCUUUUGGAGAAACAUGCUGGGAAAUAUGCUACAGGAGGUGAAGCUUUCUUGGCUGAUUUGUAUUUGGCACCACAGAUUGAUGGUGCAGUUAGAAGGUUCAGUGUUGAUAUGAACGAGUUCCCUCUUUUGUCAAAGUUAAAUGAGGCAUACAAAGAACUCCCUGCUUUUCAAGAUGCAAUGCCUGGGAAGCAGCCUGAUACGCCACCUGAGGCGAGGGACUGAUGGUGCAAUUCUUUAACAAGAACCUUUUGUCUACCUUGCUGUUUCCUAUGUUUACUUUUGAUCGCAAUCAGAUCCAAAUUCGACAGAUAAUAAAUGUAUGCUUUCAUGCCCAACAAGAGUUGUUGCUGUCUAAUUCAAUGAGAGGAGCUCUGUUUUGAAUUAAUUGCUGUAUCUUGUAUAGCUUGUUAGGCUGUUUGUCUGUGCAAAUAGGAGAAGCCACUUAUUACAUGACUUUUUAAAAAGCAUAUUCACUCAUUAUGUUCCUUUCUUGUAAGGAUUAAGAGCUACAAUUUCAACAACCACCACACAUUAGUAUAACGAUUGAAAAAAGUGUGAAUGGGGGAAUGUAACCACUUAUAUAAUCUAUCUUACAAAACUAUCCAUCCAAAU